GUGUGUGUGUGUGUCUAUAUAUAUACAUACGAGCACUCUGUCAGUUAUGACGAUGAGGGUCCUGGCUGAUACGAUCAAUGAAACAGCUUGCGCAUAAAUUUAAAUUGUGCAAGUGGUUGAGCACUCCACAGACAUGUGCACCCUUAACGUAGUUCUCAGGGAGAUUUAGCAUAAGACGGAGUGUGACAAAGCUGGCCUUUUGAAAUACAGG